GGUGAGGUGGGAGAGUGGUUUAAUCCGCUUGCUUGGAAAGCAAGUGUGUCAGCAAUGGCACCCCGAGUUCGAAUCUCGGUCUCACCGCCA
rnacentral:tRNA from 1 species